rnacentral:tRNA from 1 species
GGCCCAUUAGCUCAGUUUGUUAGAGUGUCGUGCUAAUAACGCGAAGGUCACGGGUUUGAUCCCCUCAUGGGCCA